rnacentral:misc_RNA from 1 species
AACGCACAUUGCGCCCCCUGGUAUUCCGGGGGGCACACCUGUUCGAGCGCCAUUUCAACCCUGGAGCCCUGCUCUGUGAUGGGCCCCGUCCUCAGGGACGGGCCCGAAACCCGUGGGCGCCUCCGUAAGGCCCUGAGCGUAGCAAGAGAAAUCCCUCGCUCGGAGUGCCCCAUGGCGGCCGCCCCGAACCAUCUUAAAAGGUUGGCCUCGGAUCAGGUGGGGAUACCCGCUGAACUUAA